rnacentral:rRNA from 1 species
GAUGAACGCUAGCGGCAGGCCUAAUACAUGCAAGUCGUACGGCAACGCAGUUGCGAGCAAUCGCAACCGGUGGCGAGUGGCGCACGGGUGAGUAACGCGUAUGUAACCUACCCUUCUCCGGGACAUAACUCCGCGAAAGCGGUGCUAAUAUCCCAUACCAACUCAUCAAGACAUCUUCUUGAGUUGAAAGCAGCAAUGCGGUGAAGGAUGGGCAUGCGUCCCAUUAGCUGGUUGGUGAGGUAAUGGCCCACCAAGGCUACGAUGGGUAGGGGUUCUGAGAGGAAAGCCCCCCACACUGGUACUGAGACACGGUCCAGACUCCUACGGGGGGCAGCAGUGGGGAAUCUUCCACAAUGGGCGAAAGCCUGAUGGAGCGACGCCGCGUGAGCGAAGAAGGCCUUCGGUUGUAAGCUACUGUCUGGUAGGGACGAAGGGAGUAGACGGUACCUCCGGAGGAAGCCGACGGCGUACUACGUGCCAGCAGCCGCGGUAAACGAGUAGUA